UACGGAGGAUGCGAGCGUUAUCCGGAUUUAUUGGGUUUAAAGGGUGCGUAGGCGGGUUAUCAAGUCAGCGGUAAAAUCGUGGAGCUCAACUCCAUCCAGCCGUUUAAACUGAUGAUCUUGAGUGGGCGAGAAGUAUGCGGAAUGCGUGGUGUAGCGGUGAAAUGCAUAGAUAUCACGCAGAACUCCGAUUGCGAAGGCAGCAUACCGGCGCCCGACUGACGCUGAAGCACGAAAGCGUGGGUAUCGAACAGG
rnacentral:rRNA from 1 species